AGAGCAAGUAACGUCUAAAUUAACUUUUUUUUGCUGAUGAACUGUAUAAAUGAGUGUCUAAUAGUGUUUUAAAUGUGUGCAUUCUUUAUUUUAGCAUUUUGGUGCAUUUUCUUUAAAAAUUAAAAAUUCUGUCUAAAAACCACAGUAAUGCGCCACCUUCAGCUGAAAACAUAGAAUUUGAGUCAUUUUGAAUAAAUUUUAGCCAAUGGCUAAAGAGUAAAGUACUACGUAAACCAGUAGAGUACUACGUAGCAGCUCCGUGCCAAAGUUAUAAAAGCAACGAGAGUCUCGGCCACGCCCUGUGGCGCGUGGGAGUUGGAUUUGCAAGCGAGCGUAGGAGGUCAGCGGUAGUUCAGCAUUAGCAUAUAUCAUUAGCAUAUCCUAGUCUUAGCAUAUCUUUUAGUGUUAUAAAUACUUAUUUAGUGUUAGCUUGGCUGUUGGAUAUUGUAGUUUAGUUAGUGUUUGGCUGUUAGUGUAAUUGGGAAAGUAUUUCGGUUUUAGUGUUCAUAUCGUCUUAGUAUUGGUGAGAUGGUGUAAUGUAGUAUGCUUGCGGUGACUCUGUGGGCAUUUUACCCGCGAUUCUGCACGUCUCCGUUUGAAGAGGGAGGCUGCCCACCGUGGCUCUUCCGCGAUUUAGAUGCAGCCCACCGACUCUGCUCCCCCACCACGGCGGGCUCCAGUCUGAGGCUAAAUCUACCCAAGACACUGGCUGUCAGACUGAUUUAGCUGCAAGAAUGCACUUGUCCAGGCUGAUGUGAAGCCUUCCCUGUAGCAAAGCCAGCCAGAAUGGAGUUCACAGCCGCAGUGUGUCUGGUGACCCACAGGGACCAUGAUGAAAAUUCAUCUUCCAGAAAGUCCCAGAGCGUCCAGACCCCCUGAAAAGACCAAGAUGUAAGGUGUCUGCUGUUGAUUCCAGCUUCCACCUCAGUGACAGUGCAAGCUCAGUGAACUGUUCAAGCCUGGCUGAUCACCUGAUAACUCCUGUCAUCUGGUUAUGACAGCAUGAGGAUGUCCUCACACACCUGUAACCUAUCAGCUCAUCUGGCAGAAUAGAGAGAGAAGAGACAACACCACAUCUCCUGUUCCUGGAAAGCCUUCAGCCAUCCUUCGAUGACUGAGAACCUCCAUCAGCUCUGUCUCCUGUCUGCCUACAAUUAUUAUAAUAAAUAUUGUGUUUGACAA